GCCUCGAGUAGCGGAGUAGGCAGCGUCAGUUCCAUAAUCACCCAGCGAGUAAUCUCAAGGUCGUGAGUUCGAUCCUCACCCGGGGCA